UACGUAGGGUGCGAGCGUUGUCCGGAAUUACUGGGCGUAAAGAGCUCGUAGGUGGUUUGUCGCGUUGUCCGUGAAAACUCACAACUCAAUUGUGGGCGUGCGGGCGAUACGGGCAGACUGGAGUACUGCAGGGGAGACUGGAAUUCCUGGUGUAGCGGUGGAAUGCGCAGAUAUCAGGAGGAACACCGGUGGCGAAGGCGGGUCUCUGGGCAGUAACUGACGCUGAGGAGCGAAAAGCGUGGGGGAGCGAACAGG
rnacentral:rRNA from 1 species